AACGCACAUUGCGCCCGCCAGUAUUCUGGCGGGCAUGCCUGUCCGAGCGUCAUUUCAACCCUCGAGCCCCCGGGCUUGGUGUUGGGGAUCGGCGCCGCCUCCGUGCGGCCCGCCGGCCCCGAAAUCUAGUGGCGGUCUCGCUGCAGCCUCCUCUGCGUAGUAGAAACACAUCGCACUGGAACGCGGCGCGGCCACGCCGUUAAACAACCCACUAUAUCCAAAGGUUGACCUCGGAUCAGGUAGGAAUACCCGCUGAACUUAA
rnacentral:misc_RNA from 1 species